CAUUUGUUCUUUAAAUAAGGACUUGUAUGAAUGGCCACACGAGGGUUUUACUGUCUCUUACUUCCAAUCAGUGAAAUUGACCUUCCCGUGAAGAGGCGGGAAUAGACAAAUAAGACGAGAAGACCCUAUGGAGCUUUAACUAAUUAGUUUAAAGAAAAGAAACUUAACCACUAAGGGAUAACACUAAUCUCUAUAAACUAACAGUUUCGGUUGGGGUGACCUCGGAGAAUAAAAAAUCCUCCGAGCGAUUUUAAAAACAAGACACACAAGUCAAAUUGAACUAUCGCUUAUUGAUCCAAAAUUUGAUCAACGGAACAAGUUACCCUAGGGAUAACAGCGCA
rnacentral:rRNA from 1 species